GCCCGCGACACCAAGACCAAAACAUGUUUGUGGCCCGAUUGAAAAAAAGGUUGGGGACCACUGGGCUAAAACAUUCUAACAAAA